rnacentral:rRNA from 1 species
GUUAAGCGACUAAGCGUACACGGUGGAUGCCCUGGCAGUCAGAGGCGAUGAAGGACGUGCUAAUCUGCGAUAAGCGUCGGUAAGGUGAUAUGAACCGUUAUAACCGGCGAUUUCCGAAUGGGGAAACCCAGUGUGUUUCGACACACUAUCAUUAACUGAAUCCAUAGGUUAAUGAGGCGAACCGGGGGAACUGAAACAUCUAAGUACCCCGAGGAAAAGAAAUCAACCGAGAUUCCCCCAGUAGCGGCGAGCGAACGGGGAGCAGCCCAGAGCCUGAAUCAGUGUGUGUGUUAGUGGAAGCGUCUGGAAAGGCGCGCGAUACAGGGUGACAGCCCCGUACACAAAAAUGCACAUGCUGUGAGCUCGAUGAGUAGGGCGGGACACGUGGUAUCCUGUCUGAAUAUGGGGGGACCAUCCUCCAAGGCUAAAUACUCCUGACUGACCGAUAGUGAACCAGUACCGUGAGGGAAAGGCGAAAAGAACCCCGGCGAGGGGAGUGAAAAAGAACCUGAAACCGUGUACGUACAAGCAGUGGGAGCACGCUUCGGCGUGUGACUGCGUACCUUUUGUAUAAUGGGUCAGCGACUUAUAUUCUGUAGCAAGGUUAACCGAAUAGGGGAGCCGAAGGGAAACCGAGUCUUAACUGGGCGUUAAGUUGCAGGGUAUAGACCCGAAACCCGGUGAUCUAGCCAUGGGCAGGUUGAAGGUUGGGUAACACUAACUGGAGGACCGAACCGACUAAUGUUGAAAAAUUAGCGGAUGACUUGUGGCUGGGGGUGAAAGGCCAAUCAAACCGGGAGAUAGCUGGUUCUCCCCGAAAGCUAUUUAGGUAGCGCCUCGUGAAUUCAUCUCCGGGGGUAGAGCACUGUUUCGGCAAGGGGGUCAUCCCGACUUACCAACCCGAUGCAAACUGCGAAUACCGGAGAAUGUUAUCACGGGAGACACACGGCGGGUGCUAACGUCCGUCGUGAAGAGGGAAACAACCCAGACCGCCAGCUAAGGUCCCAAAGUCAUGGUUAAGUGGGAAACGAUGUGGGAAGGCCCAGACAGCCAGGAUGUUGGCUUAGAAGCAGCCAUCAUUUAAAGAAAGCGUAAUAGCUCACUGGUCGAGUCGGCCUGCGCGGAAGAUGUAACGGGGCUAAACCAUGCACCGAAGCUGCGGCAGCGACGCUUAUGCGUUGUUGGGUAGGGGAGCGUUCUGUAAGCCUGUGAAGGUGUGCUGUGAGGCAUGCUGGAGGUAUCAGAAGUGCGAAUGCUGACAUAAGUAACGAUAAAGCGGGUGAAAAGCCCGCUCGCCGGAAGACCAAGGGUUCCUGUCCAACGUUAAUCGGGGCAGGGUGAGUCGACCCCUAAGGCGAGGCCGAAAGGCGUAGUCGAUGGGAAACAGGUUAAUAUUCCUGUACUUGGUGUUACUGCGAAGGGGGGACGGAGAAGGCUAUGUUGGCCGGGCGACGGUUGUCCCGGUUUAAGCGUGUAGGCUGGUUUUCCAGGCAAAUCCGGAAAAUCAAGGCUGAGGCGUGAUGACGAGGCACUACGGUGCUGAAGCAACAAAUGCCCUGCUUCCAGGAAAAGCCUCUAAGCAUCAGGUAACAUCAAAUCGUACCCCAAACCGACACAGGUGGUCAGGUAGAGAAUACCAAGGCGCUUGAGAGAACUCGGGUGAAGGAACUAGGCAAAAUGGUGCCGUAACUUCGGGAGAAGGCACGCUGAUAUGUAGGUGAAGCGACUUGCUCGUGGAGCUGAAAUCAGUCGAAGAUACCAGCUGGCUGCAACUGUUUAUUAAAAACACAGCACUGUGCAAACACGAAAGUGGACGUAUACGGUGUGACGCCUGCCCGGUGCCGGAAGGUUAAUUGAUGGGGUUAGCGCAAGCGAAGCUCUUGAUCGAAGCCCCGGUAAACGGCGGCCGUAACUAUAACGGUCCUAAGGUAGCGAAAUUCCUUGUCGGGUAAGUUCCGACCUGCACGAAUGGCGUAAUGAUGGCCAGGCUGUCUCCACCCGAGACUCAGUGAAAUUGAACUCGCUGUGAAGAUGCAGUGUACCCGCGGCAAGACGGAAAGACCCCGUGAACCUUUACUAUAGCUUGACACUGAACAUUGAGCCUUGAUGUGUAGGAUAGGUGGGAGGCUUUGAAGUGUGGACGCCAGUCUGCAUGGAGCCGACCUUGAAAUACCACCCUUUAAUGUUUGAUGUUCUAACGUGGACCCGUGAUCCGGGUUGCGGACAGUGUCUGGUGGGUAGUUUGACUGGGGCGGUCUCCUCCUAAAGAGUAACGGAGGAGCACGAAGGUUGGCUAAUCCUGGUCGGACAUCAGGAGGUUAGUGCAAUGGCAUAAGCCAGCUUGACUGCGAGCGUGACGGCGCGAGCAGGUGCGAAAGCAGGUCAUAGUGAUCCGGUGGUUCUGAAUGGAAGGGCCAUCGCUCAACGGAUAAAAGGUACUCCGGGGAUAACAGGCUGAUACCGCCCAAGAGUUCAUAUCGACGGCGGUGUUUGGCACCUCGAUGUCGGCUCAUCACAUCCUGGGGCUGAAGUAGGUCCCAAGGGUAUGGCUGUUCGCCAUUUAAAGUGGUACGCGAGCUGGGUUUAGAACGUCGUGAGACAGUUCGGUCCCUAUCUGCCGUGGGCGCUGGAGAACUGAGGGGGGCUGCUCCUAGUACGAGAGGACCGGAGUGGACGCAUCACUGGUGUUCGGGUUGUCAUGCCAAUGGCACUGCCCGGUAGCUAAAUGCGGAAGAGAUAAGUGCUGAAAGCAUCUAAGCACGAAACUUGCCCCGAGAUGAGUUCUCCCUGACUCCUUGAGAGUCCUGAAGGAACGUUGAAGACGACGACGUUGAUAGGCCGGGUGUGUAAGCGCAGCGAUGCGUUGAGCUAACCGGUACUAAUGAACCGUGAGGCUUAACCUU